rnacentral:rRNA from 1 species
UACGGAGGGGGCUAGCGUUGUUCGGAAUCAUUGGGCGUAAAGGGCGUGUAGGCGGCCGAUCAAGUCGGGUGUGAAAUCCCUCGGCUCAACCGAGGAACUGCACUCGAUACUGAUUGGCUAGAGUCCGGGAGGGGGUGGCGGAAUUCCCAGUGUAGCGGUGAAAUGCGUAGAUAUUGGGAAGAACACCGGUAGCGAAGGCGGCCACCUGGACCGGAACUGACGCUGAGGCGCGAAAGCCAGGGGAGCGAAUGGG